rnacentral:rRNA from 1 species
UGGGCGGGACGGGUGAGUAAUGUCGUGGGAAACCGCCCGGUGGGGGGAGGUAACUACUGGAAACGGUAGCUAAUACCGCAUAACGUCGCAAGACCAAAGAGGGGACCUUCGGGCCUCUUGCCAUCGGAUGUGCCCAGAUGGGAUUAGCUAGUAGGUGGGGUAACGGCUCACCUAGGCGACGAUCCCUAGCUGGUCUGAGAGGAUGACCAGCCACACUGGAACUGAGACACGGUCCAG